rfam:Erinaceus europaeus unplaced genomic scaffold scaffold00740, whole genome shotgun sequence
CAAAAGGCUCUUUUCAGAGCCAAUCAUCCUGUCUGAGGUUGCUGU